rnacentral:rRNA from 1 species
UACAGAGGUCUCAAGCGUUGUUCGGAUUCAUUGGGCGUAAAGGGUGCGUAGGUGGCGUCGUAAGUCAGGUGUGAAAUUUCGGAGCUUAACUUCGAAACUGCAUUUGAUACUGCGGUGCUUGAGGACUGGAGAGGAGACUGGAAUUUACGGUGUAGCAGUGAAAUGCGUAGAGAUCGUAAGGAAGACCAGUGGCGAAGGCGGGUCUCUGGACAGUUCCUGACACUGAGGCACGAAGGCCAGGGGAGCAAAACGGGG